GGGGAGAAGUCAGAGUUGAAAGAAACAUGGUCAUACUCAAUCGUGGUUAAAAUAUCUUCUUUUUUAAAAGGAUCAUUUUUAUUAGUGUACAUAUGGCUUAUAUCCAGAUGUUCCCCAAGAACCUCAUACUGAGUGCUCAUAGGCGAGUCUUUUGGAAGCUCCAGCCUUCUCCGUUUGCUUCCUGGAUGCCAUGUCAUGGACAGCUUUUCUCUACCCAGGCCCUUCCACUGUGCCACCAACCAGGCAAGGACGACUGAAUCUUCUAAAACUUUCAGGAAAACAUGCUGCACGUAAACACAUUGUGAGAAUUCCCCCCAGAAUUUUGGAAGCAACAUGAGCAGCAGGAUUUAAGCCUCAUUAGAUUUGCGGUAAAUCCAAUUUUGGAGCUGAGAUAAUGAAAACCAUGGCCUCCGUCUUCUCCUGAGUUCCAUCUUAUGCUGGCCUCCUAUUGAUUCAACCCAACAGGAAGCCAGGGUGCCAGGAAGCCAAGUGCAUAGUGAAGUCAGGGCUUCCGGAGAAAAUCUCCAUGACGGUGUAGGCGAUGACUUUUUGUAUUUGACCUCAAACCCAAGCAGAAAGGCAAAAAUAAACAAGUGGAAUUACAUC